rnacentral:tRNA from 1 species
CGGGGUGUAGCGCAGUCCGGUUAGCGCACUUGACUGGGGGUCAAGGGGCCGGUGGUUCGAAUCCACUCACCCCGA